UUCCUCGACGAACUAGCUAGAACAGCUCCCCCGUCAUCUGAUCCAUGGCUCAUCAACGGAGAUUUUAAUCUCAUCUACGAGGCGAGAGAUAAAAACAACCAUCAUCUCAACCACAGGGUCAUGGGCAUGUUCAGGCGGGCCAUUUACAUCGCCGGCCUCAAAGAGAUCUAGUGCAAAAAUCGCCGUUUCACCUGGAGUAAUGAGCACGAGAACCCGACGCUCGCCAGCAUCGACAAGUUCUUCUGCAAUAGCAGCUGGGAAGAUCCUUUCCCCACAAGCACACUGAUGGCGGCGUCCACCGCGUGCUCGGACCACUGCCCUCUGCUCCUCGCGGAUGCAGCGGCUCCUCGCCGUCGCGCCAAGUUCAAAUUUGAAAGCUUCUGGCCGUAG
rnacentral:rRNA from 1 species